rnacentral:tRNA from 2 species
GGAAAGCUGCCAGAGCCUGGCUAAAUGGGCCCGCCUCGAAAGCGGUGCGACCUACGGGUCACGGGGGUUCGAAUCCCUCGCUUUCCGCCA